rnacentral:rRNA from 1 species
CCUACGGGAGGCAGCAGUGGGGAAUAUUGGGCAAUGGAGGGAACCCUGAUCCAGCGACGCCGCGUGAGUGAAGAAGUAUUUCGGUAUGUAAAGCUCUGUCAGCAGGGAAGAAAGAAAUGACGGUACCUGACCAAGAAGCCCCGGCUAACUACGUGCCAGCAGCCGCGGUAAUACGUAGGGGGCAAGCGUUAUCCGGAAUUACUGGGUGUAAAGGGAGCGUAGACGGUUAAGUAAGUCUGGAGUGAAAGGCCGGGGCCCAACCCCGGGACUGCUCUGGAAACUAUUGAACUUGAGUGCAGGGGAGGUAAGCGGAAUUCCUAGUGUAGCGGUGAAAUGCGUAGAUAUUAGGAGGAACACCAGUGGCGAAGGCGGCUUACUGGACUGUAACUGACGUUGAGGCUCGAAAGCGUGGGGAGCAAACAGGAUUAGAUACCCUUGUAGUC